AAAAAGGAGUGGUCUUAGAACCCCCCACCAAAUAUGUCAAGUUGAACCAGAUGAGUUAUGACUGUUAUCCAAACAUAAGGUGGGGCAUUUCAUGAAAAGAAGAGUGCAAGUGUGAAAUGGUUGGGUAAAGCUGAUUUAACUACAUUCCUUCAGAUAGAUGAGGAACACGAAAGAAACAUAACAAUUACCAAUGAGCUAAGAGUGGGGGGAGGUAUAUUUGUUUUGCAUGCUUGUUAAUUGUCGACAUCGAUAAAAUUUUCCCUUGUUUCUUUCUUCUUUUUUUUGCCUGUUUUUCCUUAUUUAAAAACAAGUGCAAAAGGUAAUCGAAG